rnacentral:rRNA from 1 species
GACGAACGCUGGCGGCGUGCUUAACACAUGCAAGUCGAGCGGUAAGGCCUUUACGGGGUACACGAGCGGCGAACGGGUGAGUAACACGUGGGUGACCUGCCCUCCACUUCGGGAUAAGCCUGGGAAACUGGGUCUAAUACGGGGAUGGGACCAUUCCAUGCAUGUGGGGUGGUGGAAAGUCGGUGCUGUUGUGGUGCUGGGCGGUGGGGGAUGGGCCCGCGGUCUAUCAGCUUGUGGUGGGUGAUGGCUUACCAAGGCGACGACGGAUAGCCGGCCUGGGAGGGUGAUCGGCC